UACGGGGGGAGCAAGCGUUGUUCGGAUUUACUGGGCGUAAAGGGCGCGUAGGCGGUCAGCACAAGUCAGUUGUGAAAUCUCCGGGCUUAACUCGGAAAGGUCAACUGAUACUGUGCGACUAGAGUGCGGAAGGGGCAACUGGAAUUCUCGGUGUAGCGGUGAAAUGCGUAGAUAUCGAGAGGAACACCUGCGGCGAAGGCGGGUUGCUGGGCUGACACUGACGCUGAGGAGCGAAAGCCAGGGGAGCAAACGGG
rnacentral:rRNA from 1 species